rnacentral:rRNA from 1 species
UUUGCCUACGGGACGCAGCAGUUAGGAAUAUUCGUCAAUGGGGGGAACCCUGAACGAGCAAUGCCGCGUGAGUGAUGAAGGCCCUAUGGGUUGUAAAACUCUGUUAUUGAGAAAGAAUGGUAAGAUUAGGAAAUGAUUCUUACUUGACGGUACUCUUCAAGAAAGCCACGGCUAACUACGUGCCAGCAGCCGCGGUAAUACGUAGGUGGCGAGCGUUAUCCGGAUUUAUUGGGCGUAAAGCGUGCGCAGGCGGCUUAUUAAGUCUAAGAUUAAAGCCCGGAGCUUAACUCCGGUUCGUCUUAGAA